AUUGAACGCUGGCGGCAGGCCUAACACAUGCAAGUCGAACGAGUGGCGGACGGGUUACUAAGGUCUCUGAAACUGCCUGAUGGAGGGGGUUAACUAAUGGGAACUGUUACUAAUAACGCAUUCAAGCACAUGUGCCGAGAUGGGAUUAGCUUGUUGGUGGGGUAACGGCCCACCAAGGCGACGAUCCCAAGCUGGACUGAGAGGAUGACCAGCCACACUGGAACUGAGACACGGUCCAGACUCCUACGGGAGGCAGCAGUGGGGAAUAUUGGACAAUGGGCGAAAGCCUGAUGCAGCCAUGCCGCGUGUAUGAAGAAGGCCUUCGGGUUGUAAAGUACUUUCAGCGGGGAGGCGUUACCCGCAGAAGAAGCACCGGCUAACUCCGUGCCAGCAGCCGCGGUAAUUC
rnacentral:rRNA from 1 species